UACGAAGGGUGCAAGCGUUAAUCGGAAUUACUGGGCGUAAAGCGCGCGUAGGUGGUUGGGUAAGUUGAAUGUGAAAGCCCCGGGCUCAACCUGGGAACUGCAUCCAAAACUGCCCGACUAGAGUACGGUAGAGGGUGGUGGAAUUUCCUGUGUAGCGGUGAAAUGCGUAGAUAUAGGAAGGAACACCAGUGGCGAAGGCGACCACCUGGACUGAUACUGACACUGAGGUGCGAAAGCGUGGGGAGCAAAC
rnacentral:rRNA from 1 species